rnacentral:rRNA from 1 species
UACGAAGGGGGCUAGCGUUGUUCGGAAUCACUGGGCGUAAAGGGCGCGUAGGCGGCUUUGUAAGUCGGGGGUGAAAGCCUGUGGCUCAACCACAGAAUUGCCUUCGAUACUGCAUGGCUUGAGACCGGAAGAGGUAAGUGGAACUGCGAGUGUAGAGGUGAAAUUCGUAGAUAUUCGCAAGAACACCGGUGGCGAAGGCGGCUUUCUGGACGACAACUGACGCUGAGACGCGAAAGCGUGGGGAGCAAACAGG